UGGGGAAUAUUGGGCAAUGGGGGGAACCCUGACCCAGCGACGCCGCGUGAGGGAAGAAGGUUUUCGGAUNCGUAAACCUCUGUUGUACGGGAAGAAGGAAGUGACGGUACCGUACGAGGAAGCCCCGGCAAACUACGUGCCAGCAGCCGCGGUAACACGUAGGGGGCGAGCGUUGUCCGGAAUUACUGGGCGUAAAGGGCGCGUAGGCGGCCUUUUAAGUCGGACGUGAAAGCCCUCGGCUCAACCGGGGAAUUGCGUUCGAUACUGGGAGGCUUGAGUCCUGGAGAGGGUGGCGGAAUUCCGGGUGUAGGAGUGAAAUCCGUAGAUAUCCGGAGGAACACCGGUGGCGAAGGCGGCCACCUGGACAGGUACUGACGCUGAGGCGCGAAAGCGUGGGGAGCG
rnacentral:rRNA from 1 species